GAUGAACGCUGGCGGCGUGCCUAAUACAUGCAAGUCGAGCGAACGGACGAGAAGCUUGCUUCUCUGAUGUUAGCGGCGGACGGGUGAGUAACACGUGGAUAACCUACCUAUAAGACUGGGAUAACUUCGGGAAACCGGAGCUAAUACCGGAUGAUAUUUUGAACCGCAUGGUUCAAAAGUGAAAGACGGUCUUGCUGUCACUUAUAGAUGGAUCCGCGCUGCAUUAGCUAGUUGGUAAGGUAACGGCUUACCAAGGCAACGAUGCAUAGCCGACCUGGGAGGGUGAUCGGCCACACUGGAACUGAGACACGGUCCAGACUCCUACGGGAGGCAGCAGUAGGGAAUCUUCCGCAAUGGGAGAAAGCCUGACGGAGCAACGCCGCGUGAGUGAUGAAGGUCUUCGGAUCGUAAAACUCUGUUAUUAGGGAAGAACAUAUGUGUAAGUAACUGUGCACAUCUUGACGGUACCUAAUCAGAAAGCCACGGCUAACUACGUG
rnacentral:rRNA from 1 species